AGCGAAGAUCGCGCAAUCGUCCCGCCAAUCCGUCAUUUGACGGAUCGGCGGGGAGGAAAGUCCGAACUCCACAGGACAGGGUACCUCCUAACAGAAGGGUAUCCCGUCCCGAUUUUUCGGGACGGGGUAACGGAAAGUGUCACAGAAAAUAUACCGUGGCGCCUUUGGCGCCAUAAGGGUGAAAAGGCGAGGUAAGAGCUCACCGCUCCGGCAGUAAUGUCGGAGGUCCUUUAAGGGAUCUCGACAAGUUCCGUCCCCCCGCUUUAAGCGGGGGGACGGAAUGAGUCGGGACACGACAAACCCUACCCGGAGCAAGGUCAAAUAAGAGGUGAACGAUGUGGUCCGCAUCGCUUGACCUAUCCAUUUAGGUCGAAUAUCCUCGGGUAGACCGCUCGAUCUCGAUCGUGAGGUCGGGACUAGAUAAAUGAUUGCGGUUCCGUCCCCCCGCUUAAAGCGGGGGGGCGGGAUACAAAAUUCGGCUUAUAGAUUUUCGCGCUGC
rnacentral:RNase_P_RNA from 1 species